rnacentral:tRNA from 1 species
GGUUGUUUGGCCGAGCGGUCUAAGGCGCCUGAUUCAAGAACUCAGGUAUCGUAAGAUGCGUGAGUUCGAAUCUCACAGCAACCA